UACGUAGGGUGCAAGCGUUGUCCGGGAUUAUUGGGCGUAAAGAGCUCGUAGGCGGUCUGUCGCGUCUGCUGUGAAAACCCGGGGCUCAACCCCGGGCUUGCAGUGGAUACGGGCAGACUAGAGUUCGGUAGGGGAGACUGGAAUUCCUGGUGUAGCGGUGAAAUGCGCAGAUAUCAGGAGGAACACCGGUGGCGAAGGCGGGUCUCUGGGCCGAUACUGACGCUGAGGAGCGAAAGCGUGGGGAGCGAACAGG
rnacentral:rRNA from 1 species